CCUACGGGUGGCAGCAGUGAGGAAUAUUGGUCAAUGGACGCGAGUCUGAACCAGCCAAGUAGCGUGAAGGAUGACUGCCCUAUGGGUUGUAAACUUCUUUUAUAUGGGAAUAAAACGUUCCACGUGUGGGAUUUUGUAUGUACCAUAUGAAUAAGGAUAGGCUAACUCCGUGCCAGCAGCCGCGGUAAUACGGAGGGUCCGAGUUUUAUCCGAAUUUAUUGGGUUAAAAGGGAGCGUAGGUGGAUUGUUAAGUCAGUUGUGAAAGUUUGGGGCUCAACCGUAAAAUUGCAGUUGAAACUGGCAGUCUUGAGUACAGUAGAGGUGGCGGAAUUCGAGGUGUAGCGGUGAAAUGCUUAGAUAUCACGAAGAACUCCGAUUGCGAAGGCAGUUCACUGGACUGCAACUGACACUGAGGCGCGAAAGUGUGGGUAUCAAACAGGAUUAGAUACCCUUGUAGUC
rnacentral:rRNA from 1 species